rnacentral:rRNA from 1 species
CCAGCAGCUGCGGUAAUUCCAGCUCCAAUAGCGUAUAUUAAAGUUGUUGCAGUUAAAACGCUCGUAGUCUGAUGUAAUGGGGACUGGUGUGGGGAGCAGCGAUGCUCUGUGCAGCGGUUCUCAUCAGGGGGCCAGCAAUGGCCCAGUUUACUUUGAGGAAAUUAGGGUGUUCAAGGCAGGCGUGUGCUUGGAUAUCGCAGCAUGGAAUAACGGAGUAGGAUUCGCUUCUUAUUUUGUUGGUUUGGGGGAGUGAGUAAUGAUUAGUAGGGGCAGUUGGGGGCAUUGGUAUUUGGUAGUCAGAGGUGAAAUUCUUGGAUUUACCAAAGACUAACUGGUGCGAAAGCGUUUGCCAAGGAUGUUUUCAUUGAUCAAGAACGAAAGU